rnacentral:pre_miRNA from 1 species
AAAGCAAUGUGCAGCCAAGGAUGACUUGCCGACUCCGAUCACCAGCCGAUCUCUCUCCUUCGAUUCCCUCCGGUCCAAGGGGUCAUCGGCCACAAACCACUUUUUAUGUUGAUUCUGAAACUACGGUAUAAUGUACGGAGCUUAACUGCCAGAAGGGGGAGUGAUGAACCGUGCCGAUGAGUAGAGCGGGAUUUCGACCAUGGGGAGAGAGAUCAUCGAGUGUGGGCAAGUUGUUCUUGGCUACAUGUUUCUUUCU